AAUUAUUCUGUACUCAUAUAUUUUAAAGUCUAUUAUAAACCCAUUACUUAUGUGUAUAAUUUGUGAUUAUUUUUUAUAAGGCACAAUGCACAUUAAUAUACAAUGUAUGAAUUAAUUUACCUAUAAACCUAUUCAUAAUUUAUUCCCCGAAACGGUACGUUUAGCAGAAUAAACACUCGUCCAAACGGUACAUAACUGUUCGCCCAAACAGUAUACGCCUACUUUAUUUUUUUUUUCUGUUGAUUUUGGGAUUAUAGAGGAUAAAAGGUUUAUGGCAUUGCAUGGAAUAAAAAAAACAGGGUGCCCUCAGAGUUUACGGUAUAUUUAUAUACGGUACCUA